CCUACGGGAGGCAGAAGUGAGGAAUAUUGGUCAAUGGACGCAAGUCUGAACCAGCCAUGCCGCGUGCAGGAAGACGGCUCUAUGAGUUGUAAACUGCUUUUGUACGAGGGUAAACGCAGAUACGUGUAUCUGUCUGCAAGUAUCGUACGAAUAAGGAUCGGCUAACUCCGUGCCAGCAGCCGCGGUAAUACGGAGGAUUCAAGCGUUAUCCGGAUUUAUUGGGUUUAAAGGGUGCGUAGGCGGUCGGAUAAGUUAGAGGUGAAAUCCCGAGGCUCAACUUUGGAACUGCCGCUGGUACUGGUCGGCUAGAGAGUAGUGGCGGUAGGCGGAAUGUAUGGUGUAGCGGUGAAAUGCUUAGAGAUCAUACAGAACACCGAUUGCGAAGGCAGCUUACCGAGCUACUUCUGACGUUGAGGCACGAAGGCGUGGGGAGCGAACAGGAUUAGAUACCCUAGUAGUC
rnacentral:rRNA from 1 species